AAUCUUGGACACUGGGGGGAACCCUGCACCAGCCUUUCCGCGUGUUCGAUGACUGCCAUCGGGUUGUAAAGCACUUUUGGCAGGGAAGAAAUUGCGCGGGCUAAUCUCCUGCGUGGCUGGCGGUACCUGCAGCAUCAGCACUGGCUAACUACGUGCCAGCAGCCGCGUUAAUACGCAGGGUGCAAGCGUUAAUCGGCAUUACCGGGCGUAAAGGGUGCGCAGGCGGCUCGGAAAGAAAGAUGUGAAAUCCCAGGGAUCAACCUUGGAACUGCAUUUUUAACUACCGGACUAGAGUGUGUCAGAGGGAGAGGGAAUUCCGCGUGUAGCAGUGAAAUGCGUAGAUAUGCGGAGGAACGCCGAUGGCGAAGGCAGCCUCCUGGGAUAACACUGACGCUCAGGCACGAAAGCGUGGGGGGCAAAC
rnacentral:rRNA from 1 species